UACGAAGGGGGCUAGCGUUGCUCGGAUUCACUGGGCGUAAAGGGUGCGCAGGCGGCCGUGUGUGUCAGGUGUGAAAGCCCGGAGCUUAACUCCGGAAUUGCGCCUGAAACUACAUGGCUAGAGCAUUGGAGAGGGAAGUGGAAUUCACGGUGUAGCAGUGAAAUGCGUAGAUAUGCGGAGGAACACCGAUGGCGAAGGCAAUCCCCUGGACCUGUACUGACGCUCAUGCACGAAAGCGUGGGGAGCAAACAGG
rnacentral:rRNA from 1 species